AAAAAGAUAAGCUAAUUUUAAGCUCAUGGGUUCAUACCCCAUUUAUAGAAAUCAUUCUUCUUUUUA
rnacentral:tRNA from 1 species